UAUUCUGACAGCUUAUAUGCAGUCAGAGUUACCAAAAAUAUUGAAACUUCAGUUAUUGGGUAUACUUCAUCACAAGAGUUAUUUGAAUUAUUUCAUAAUUUACAGAAGGCAGUGCUAAUGCGAAAAUACCCAUGUUUCAUAGGACACAUACGAGCUCAUACUAAUCUUCCAGGACCUUUAGUUUCAGGUAAUGACAAAAUUGAUAAAUUAGUAACUUUUUGUCAACAGAUGUCUUCAUAUGACUGUGCACUAGCUUGCCAUUCCUUGCAUCAUCAAAAUGCUUCUAGCUUACGUAAAAAAUUUAAUAUUACCAGAGAACAAGCUCAUCAAAUUGUAAGCCAAUGCCCUAAGUGUGUUAUUCGCACUCCAUCUCCACCAUCAGGGGUAAAUCCCCAUGGAUUAAAAACAAAUCAAAUAUGACAAAUGGAUGUAACUCAUAUUCCUCAAUUUGGUAAACAAUGUUAUGUGCAUGUCAUAGUGGACACUUAUUCCAGAUUUAUUUUUGCCACAGCACGUACUAAGGAAAAUACUCAACAUGUAAUUUCUCAUUGCCUAGCAGCUUUUUCUGUGUUAGGGUGCCCUAUGCAGAUUAAAACAUAUAAUGCUCCAGCUUACGUAAGUUCUUCUUUUCAAAAAUUUUGCCAAGAGUUUCAAAUUAAUCAUAAAACAGGAAUUCCUUAUAACCCCCAAGGUCAAGCCAUUGUGGAACAAGCUCAUUUAUCUAUUAAGCUUCAAUUACAAAAAUUAAAGGGGGGGAAUAGGAUUAUGACUCCUCAAAAUAGCCUCAAUCAUGCUUUGUUCGUUUUAAAUUUUUUAAACUGUGACGCUGAAGGUCACACUGCUGCUGAGAGGCAAAUGUCUCCCUCAGUAACAGGCCCUUUAGGCAGAGUUUUGUGGAAAGAUUUACAGACCGGUCAAUGGAAAGGCCCAGACCCAGUGCUUAUGUGGGGCAGAGGUCAUGCUUGUAUCUUUCCAGAAGGUGCUUUUCAUCCUAUUUGGAUGCCUGAACGUGCAAUCAGACAUGGAAGAGAUAGAACCCAAUUCAAGCGACUCAAGAUCGACCCAGAGGAGCCCCUAUCCAAAAGGAAGAGACAUCGGAAAAAUGAAGAAAGACCAGACUGACCCAGCCGAAAAGCUGAUUUCAUGGGAAGACGUGAAGAAGCUAACAACACAGGCUUCCUGAAUACUUUGACUCCUAGGAAAGAAGAGGACCCCAGUGAUGAUGGUAGCAACAGUAAUUGCCCUGCUGGGCUGUCAGGUAAAGGGGAAUCAGAUAGACACUUACUGGACAUAUUUCCCAGAUCCACCCCUGGUACACCCAGCUGUGUGGACUGGAGAAUCUAUUCCAGUAUUUACUAAUGACUCAUUCAUGAUGGGAGGAUUUACAGAUACUCAUAUUACUCCCAAUCAUGUGACUAGAUAUAAUUAUUCUGGCUACAGUGCCCAAUUAUCUUUGUGUUGGUUCCACGAUAAACAUGCUGGCUGUCUGAAAGUAUCAUUCGAGGAAAAGACAGCGAUUGGUAGACCUAGACUGACAAAUAAUUCUAUUUAUGGAGACUUAAAACCUUAUACUAGAUCAGUAAUUAAGAUGGGACUUUCCCAUAACAAGCCAGUCAUUUCUGCAAAACCUCCACAGAUACCCCACUGUCCAAAUAGUUCUACAAUUGAGAUUGGCACCUUUCCUAGAUGGAUGGAUUGUGUAAAUACUUUUCCUGUACAACAUAAGGUGUCUAAAGAUAGUGGGUAUAUUUUAGACUGGUCUCCAAAAAUUGAUAAGAGACAAUUAUGAAGAAAUUCUGCUAUGACACCUGCAGGAUUUGUUAGUAAUAUUUUGACUUAUAGUGAAGGUGGUAUUCAAAAGGAUGUUUGGUGCUUAAUUGCUGCCUCAGAAUUCUUACAUUUUACAGACAAGCC
rnacentral:lncRNA from 1 species